rnacentral:rRNA from 1 species
AAGUUACUUCGGUACAUCGGUGACAGGUGCUGCAUGGCUGUCGUCAGCUCGUGUCGUGAGAUGUUGGGUUAAGUCCCGCAACGAGCGCAACCCUUGUCUUUAAUUGCCAGCAUUCAGUUGGGCACUUUAAAGAGACUGCCGGUGUUAAGCCGGAGGAAGGUGGGGAUGACGUCAAGUCCUCAUGGCCUUUAUGCCCAGGGCUACACACGUGCUACAAUGGGUGGUACAAAGAGAUGCCAACUCGCGAGAGCGCGCCAAUCUCAGAAAGCCAUCCUCAGUUCGGAUUGGAGUCUGCAACUCGACUCCAUGAAGUUGGAAUCGCUAGUAAUCGCGGAUCAGCACGCCGCGGUGAAUACGUUCCCGGGCCUU